rnacentral:rRNA from 1 species
AUUGAACGCUGGCGGCAUGCCUUACACAUGCAAGUCGAACGGUAACGGGCCUUCGGGUGCCGACGAGUGGCGAACGGGUGAGUAAUACAUCGGAACGUGCCCGAUCGUGGGGGAUAACGAGGCGAAAGCUUUGCUAAUACCGCAUACGAUCUACGGAUGAAAGCAGGGGACCGCAAGGCCUUGCGCGGACGGAGCGGCCGAUGGCAGAUUAGGUAGUUGGUGGGAUAAAAGCUUACCAAGCCGACGAUCUGUAGCUGGUCUGAGAGGAUGAUCAGCCACACUGGGACUGAGACACGGCCCAGACUCCUACGGGAGGCAGCAGUGGGGAAUUUUGGACAAUGGGCGCAAGCCUGAUCCAGCCAUGCCGCGUGCAGGAUGAAGGCCUUCGGGUUGUAAACUGCUUUUGUACGGAACGAAAAGCCUUCUUUUAAUAUAGGAGGGUCAUGACGGUACCGUAAGAAUAAGCACCGGCUAACUACGUG